UGCAAGUCGAACGGUGAAGCCCAGCUUGCUGGGUGGAUCAGUGGCGAACGGGUGAGUAACACGUGAGCAACCUGCCCCCUACUUCGGGAUAAGCCUUGGAAACGAGGUCUAAUACCGGAUAUGAGCACUUACCGCAUGGUGGGUGUUGGAAAGUUUUUCGGUGGGGGAUGGGCUCGCGGCCUAUCAGCUUGUUGGUGGGGUAAUGGCCUACCAAGGCGUCGACGGGUAGCCGGCCUGAGAGGGCGACCGGCCACACUGGGACUGAGACACGGCCCAGACUCCUACGGGAGGCAGCAGUGGGGAAUAUUGCACAAUGGGCGAAAGCCUGAUGCAGCGACGCCACGUGAGGGAUGACGGCCUUCGGGUUGUAAACCUCUUUCAGCAGGGAAGAAGCGAAAGUGACGGUACCUGCAGAAGAAGCGCCGGCUAACUACGUGCCAGCAGCCGCGGUAAUACGUAGGGCGCAAGCGUUGUCCGGAAUUAUUGGGCGUAAAGAGCUCGUAGGCGGUCUGUCGCGUCUGGUGUGAAAUCCCAUGGCUCAACUGUGGGCUUGCAUCGGGUACGGGCAGACUAGAGUGCUGUAGGGGAGACUGGAAUUCCUGGUGUAGCGGUGGAAUGCGCAGAUAUCAGGAGGAACACCGAUGGCGAAGGCAGGUCUCUGGGCAGUUACUGACGCUGAGGAGCGAAAGCAUGGGGAGCGAACAGGAUUAGAUACCCUGGUAGUCCAUGCCGUAAACGUUGGGCACUAGGUGUGGGGCGGGUUCCACUCGUUCUGUGCCGCAGCUAACGCAUUAAGUGCCCCGCCUGGGGAGUACGGCCGCAAGGCUAAAACUCAAAGGAAUUGACGGGGGCCCGCACAAGCGGCGGAGCAUGCGGAUUAAUUCGAUGCAACGCGAAGAACCUUACCAAGG
rnacentral:rRNA from 1 species